AUCCUUUCUGGUUCAUAAAGCAUGAUGAUUGGGUGUUCACACUUUUGCGUGACACAUGUUGCCCAUAAACCUUGUUAGACGUGGGCACAUUACCCAUCUGACG